rnacentral:rRNA from 1 species
CCUACGGGAGGCAGCAGUGGGGAAUAUUGGGCAAUGGGCGCAAGCCUGACCCAGCAACGCCGCGUGAAGGAAGAAGGCUCUCGGGUUGUUAACCUUUUUUUUCAGGGACGAAGAAAGUGACGGUACCUGCGGAAUAAGCCACGGCUAACUACGUGCCAGCAGCCGCGGUAAUACGUAGGUGGCAAGCGUUAUCCGGAAUCACUGGGUGUAAAGGAGCGUAGACGGCUGUGCAAGCCUGAAGUGAAAGGCGGGGGCCCAACCCCUGGACUGCUUUGGGAACUGUACGGCUGGAGUGGAGGAGAGGUAAGUGGAAUUCCUAGUGUAGCGGUGAAAUGCGUAGAUAUUAGGAAGAACACCAAUGGCGAAGGCAGCAUACUGGACUGUAACUGACGUUGAGGCUCGAAAGCGUGGGGAGCAAACAGGAUUAGAUACCCGAGUAGUC